rnacentral:rRNA from 1 species
GAUGAACGCUGGCGGCGUGCCUAAUACAUGCAAGUCGAGCGAACAGACGAGGAGCUUGCUCCUCUGACGUUAGCGGCGGACGGGUGAGUAACACGUGGAUAACCUACCUAUAAGACUGGGAUAACUUCGGGAAACCGGAGCUAAUACCGGAUAAUAUAUUGAACCGCAUGGUUCAAUAGUGAAAGACGGUUUUGCUGUCACUUAUAGAUGGAUCCGCGCCGCAUUAGCUAGUUGGUAAGGUAACGGCUUACCAAGGGGACGAUGCGUAGCCGACCUGAGAGGGUGGUCGGCCACACUGGAACUGAGACACGGUCCAGACGCCUACGGUAGGCAGCAGUAGCGAAUCUUCCGCAAUGGGCGAAAGCCUGACGGAGCAGCGCCGCGUGAGUGAUGAAGGUCUUCGGAUCGUAAAACUCUGUUAUUAGGGAAGAACAAAUGUGUAAGUAACUAUGCACGUCUUGACGGUACCUAAUCAGAAAGCCACGGCUAACUACGUG